GGGUUGUGAGGUUAAGCGACUAAGCGUACACGGUGGAUGCCCUGGCAGUCAGAGGCGAUGAAGGACGUGCUAAUCUGCGAUAAGCGUCGGUGAGGUGAUAUGAACCGUUAUAACCGGCGAUUUCCGAAUGGGGAAACCCAGUGUGAUUCGUCACACUAUCAUUAACUGAAUCCAUAGGUUAAUGAGGCGAACCGGGGGAACUGAAACAUCUAAGUACCCCGAGGAAAAGAAAUCAACCGAGAUUCCCCCAGUAGCGGCGAGCGAACGGGGAGGAGCCCAGAGCCUGAAUCAGUGUGUGUGUUAGUGGAAGCGUCUGGAAAGGCGCGCGAUACAGGGUGACAGCCCCGUACACAAAAAUGCACAUACUGUGAGCUCGAUGAGUAGGGCGGGACACGUGGUAUCCUGUCUGAAUAUGGGGGGACCAUCCUCCAAGGCUAAAUACUCCUGACUGACCGAUAGUGAACCAGUACCGUGAGGGAAAGGCGAAAAGAACCCCGGCGAGGGGAGUGAAAAAGAACCUGAAACCGUGUACGUACAAGCAGUGGGAGCCUCUUAAUGGGGUGACUGCGUACCUUUUGUAUAAUGGGUCAGCGACUUAUAUUCUGUAGCAAGGUUAACCGAAUAGGGGAGCCGAAGGGAAACCGAGUCUUAACUGGGCGUUAAGUUGCAGGGUAUAGACCCGAAACCCGGUGAUCUAGCCAUGGGCAGGUUGAAGGUUGGGUAACACUAACUGGAGGACCGAACCGACUAAUGUUGAAAAAUUAGCGGAUGACUUGUGGCUGGGGGUGAAAGGCCAAUCAAACCGGGAGAUAGCUGGUUCUCCCCGAAAGCUAUUUAGGUAGCGCCUCGUGAAUUCAUCUCCGGGGGUAGAGCACUGUUUCGGCAAGGGGGUCAUCCCGACUUACCAACCCGAUGCAAACUGCGAAUACCGGAGAAUGUUAUCACGGGAGACACACGGCGGGUGCUAACGUCCGUCGUGAAGAGGGAAACAACCCAGACCGCCAGCUAAGGUCCCAAAGUCAUGGUUAAGUGGGAAACGAUGUGGGAAGGCCCAGACAGCCAGGAUGUUGGCUUAGAAGCAGCCAUCAUUUAAAGAAAGCGUAAUAGCUCACUGGUCGAGUCGGCCUGCGCGGAAGAUGUAACGGGGCUAAACCAUGCACCGAAGCUGCGGCAGCGACACUAUGUGUUGUUGGGUAGGGGAGCGUUCUGUAAGCCUGUGAAGGUGUACUGUGAGGUAUGCUGGAGGUAUCAGAAGUGCGAAUGCUGACAUAAGUAACGAUAAAGCGGGUGAAAAGCCCGCUCGCCGGAAGACCAAGGGUUCCUGUCCAACGUUAAUCGGGGCAGGGUGAGUCGACCCCUAAGGCGAGGCCGAAAGGCGUAGUCGAUGGGAAACAGGUUAAUAUUCCUGUACUUGGUGUUACUGCGAAGGGGGGACGGAGAAGGCUAUGUUGGCCGGGCGACGGUUGUCCCGGUUUAAGCGUGUAGGCUGGUUUUCCAGGCAAAUCCGGAAAAUCAAGGCUGAGGCGUGAUGACGAGGCACUACGGUGCUGAAGCGACAAAUGCCCUGCUUCCAGGAAAAGCCUCUAAGCAUCAGGUAACAUUAAAUCGUACCCCAAACCGACACAGGUGGUCAGGUAGAGAAUACCAAGGCGCUUGAGAGAACUCGGGUGAAGGAACUAGGCAAAAUGGUGCCGUAACUUCGGGAGAAGGCACGCUGAUAUGUAGGUGAAGCGACUUGCUCGUGGAGCUGAAAUCAGUCGAAGAUACCAGCUGGCUGCAACUGUUUAUUAAAAACACAGCACUGUGCAAACACGAAAGUGGACGUAUACGGUGUGACGCCUGCCCGGUGCCGGAAGGUUAAUUGAUGGGGUUAGCGGCAACGCGAAGCUCUUGAUCGAAGCCCCGGUAAACGGCGGCCGUAACUAUAACGGUCCUAAGGUAGCGAAAUUCCUUGUCGGGUAAGUUCCGACCUGCACGAAUGGCGUAAUGAUGGCCAGGCUGUCUCCACCCGAGACUCAGUGAAAUUGAACUCGCUGUGAAGAUGCAGUGUACCCGCGGCAAGACGGAAAGACCCCGUGAACCUUUACUAUAGCUUGACACUGAACAUUGAGCCUUGAUGUGUAGGAUAGGUGGGAGGCUUUGAAGUGUGGACGCCAGUCUGCAUGGAGCCGACCUUGAAAUACCACCCUUUAAUGUUUGAUGUUCUAACGUGGGCCCGUAAUCCGGGUUGCGGACAGUGUCUGGUGGGUAGUUUGACUGGGGCGGUCUCCUCCUAAAGAGUAACGGAGGAGCACGAAGGUUGGCUAAUCCUGGUCGGACAUCAGGAGGUUAGUGCAAUGGCAUAAGCCAGCUUGACUGCGAGCGUGACGGCGCGAGCAGGUGCGAAAGCAGGUCAUAGUGAUCCGGUGGUUCUGAAUGGAAGGGCCAUCGCUCAACGGAUAAAAGGUACUCCGGGGAUAACAGGCUGAUACCGCCCAAGAGUUCAUAUCGACGGCGGUGUUUGGCACCUCGAUGUCGGCUCAUCACAUCCUGGGGCUGAAGUAGGUCCCAAGGGUAUGGCUGUUCGCCAUUUAAAGUGGUACGCGAGCUGGGUUUAGAACGUCGUGAGACAGUUCGGUCCCUAUCUGCCGUGGGCGCUGGAGAACUGAGGGGGGCUGCUCCUAGUACGAGAGGACCGGAGUGGACGCAUCACUGGUGUUCGGGUUGUCAUGCCAAUGGCA
rnacentral:rRNA from 1 species